GGGGGUGACCGGCUUUGACGGUCUGUCCUUUGAAAGACGUGCGACGCAGUGCACGCUCGUAUGACACUUACAAUCCAACGAGCAACCAAACUUGCCAAGAACACUCUUGCAAGCGUAAAGUCUCCGUACUUCGGUAUGCGUGAUUUUGCGUUCGCACACGUUUCCGCUUCGGCGUAACGUGCGCGACGUUCAUCCUCCCCUCGUUUCUGCAGGAGGAGGGAUGGGCGGAAUAAUCUGCAGAAUCGGUGCGCGGAAUCCCGGCCGCCGCGCUUAAAUAAGGGAUCGGGCGGGAAUGGUUUCGUCUGCGUUCCUUGCAUCCUGCCUUAGACACUAACGCUGACUAUGCGUCGUAGAAGCGCUUUCAGAGCCAGAUUCGGACCGGGGUCCAAUUCCCCGCACCUCCACAA
rnacentral:tmRNA from 1 species